GAUGAAGAACGUAGCGAAAUGCGAUAAGUAGUGUGAAUUGCAGAAUUCAGUGAAUCAUCGAAUCUUUGAACGCACAUUGCGCCCCCUGGCAUUCCGGGGGGCAUGCCUGUCCGAGCGUCAUUUCUGCCCUCCAGCCCGGCUGGGUGUUGGGCGCUGUCCCCCCGGGGACACGCCCCAAAGGCAGUGGCGGCGCCGCGUCGGGUCCUCGAGCGUAUGGGGCUUUGUCACCCGCUCGGGACGGACUCGUCGGCGCUGGUCUUCCUCCAGGCGACCCUUCGGGGCUCGUCUUCCUUCGGUUGACCUCGGAUCAGGUAGGGUUACCCGCUGAACUUAAGCAUAUCAAUAAGCGGAGGA
rnacentral:misc_RNA from 1 species